rnacentral:rRNA from 1 species
CGAACGGGUGAGUAACGCGUGAGGAACCUGCCUCAAAGAGGGGGACAACAGUUGGAAACGACUGCUAAUACCGCAUAAGCCCACGACCCGGCAUCGGGUAGAGGGAAAAGGAGCAAUCCGCUUUGAGAUGGCCUCGCGUCCGAUUAGCUAGUUGGUGAGGUAAUGGCCCACCAAGGCGACGAUCGGUAGCCGGACUGAGAGGUUGAACGGCCACAUUGGGACUGAGACACGGCCCAG